GUUGGGGGUGUUUCCUGUUUCAACAAACAACUUCCAGCUGGAUGAAAACAUGUUGACACACAUGUCCAGUUUGCUUUUGUAGUUUUAGACUCUGGUUUAGCUGGAAGCGGAGAGAACGUCCCGUCUACUGACUCAGAUCAGCUUCAGCUCUGCCUUCCAAUAGAUACACAUAAUACUGAAUCAAUAAACUGCUGCUGUAGAAGCUGAACCUUCCUGUCGUUGGAUUCGUUGACUCUGGAUCAGAACACAAUGUGAGGUUGUGUAAUGGAGUAAUGUGGGAGUAGUGUUUGUGUUGUGUUGGGAAACCGGCUGUAAUCACUGAGUGGAAGACAACUUUAAAUAUAUCUAUAUUUAAAUAAAGGUAAAGGCGUUUCCAUA